CCUUGAUUUUUGCUCAAAAAGGCAGUCACACACCAAUUCAUUUCUUUUUCUUUUUUUUGUAGAGACAUAAAAGGCACACAAUGAAAUCUUAAUAAAUGUAUUGGAUGUUGCAGCAUUAACUGAUGAGCCAGACAAUGUAAAGACCUCAGACUACCAAAUGUUUUGAAAGACGAAUAGUGAAUGUGAAACUGUGAACCAAAAUAGAUUUUUAGAAUCCUUGAAAAAAUAGAGCUAGAGAAAGUCUUUGAGACCAUUGAUUGCAAAUAUUUGAGUUUACAACUGAGCAAAUGGAGAAAAGAGAAGUGACUCGUCAGUCCAACAAGUGGCAGAAUCAGAACCAGACCCCAAUGCUUGGGUCUUCUGUCCCUCCUGGCACCAAAGUCACCUAUCAUAAGUAACUUGAGUUUCAGAGGGGAAGGAAAAGACUACAAUGUCCCAGCACUGUUCCAGACACUUUUUAGGGGACUCCAAGACACCUUGUGUAAUGCCUAUUUUAAGUAGCUGGAAGAUUCUAUAGCAUGGGAAAAGCCCACUGAAGGCAAAAGUAAACAUUACCUAUUGUGGUCCUGGAAAAGAAAAUCAUCUCUCAUUUAUCUCCUGGAGCUGUUUGACGAACUUGUGCCCUGGUUUUACUUUGGGAGCCACCUUUCUCUUUCAGGUGCUGUCUCAGUGGAAUAGUCAACCAAUGUAUCCUACAUUUUGGACCAGCAGAAGGAAGUAAUGAGAACAGAAAACAAAUAAGAAGUGAGUUGGAGGGAGAAGGAGACUUUAGCAUCUUCCUGAAAUCAGGAAGAAAGUUUCAAGAAUAAAGUAAUCCAUAGGGUCAAAUACUGCAGUAAGUUUAAUUAGGAUGAAGACUGCAAAGAUGGUAUUAGUUUGGUACUUAGGACAUUGGUGACCUCCACAGGUGACUUUCAGGAGAAUUAUCUGGGGAACUUGUUGAUAGAAUUUGUGAAUCUCCACCUUUAGGGAUUCUGAUUUAGAAGGAGUAGGAAGAAGGCCUUAGGAUCUCCAUUUAUAACAACCACUACUGAUUAUUUUGAGGCAGGUAGCAUACAGACCACAUUUGAAAGAAACACUAGGUAAGUGUGAUUUUCAUUCAAAGGACAAAAAACAUAAAGUUACCUAAUUCAGGGACCAUUUCAAAGACCAAAUCAAAUCAGUAGCCUGGCUGAUCUGAUCGACUGCGCAGAAACUAGCCAUUACCAUGGCAAAGUGGGGAGG
rnacentral:lncRNA from 10 species